CCGGUGAGUGGCGCAGUUGCGCGGUACCAUGCCGAAAGGCCGUACCGUGAGGAAAGUCCGGGCUUCACAGGGCAAGGAUAACGGAUAACAUCCGCCGAGGGCAACCUCCGGGCAAGUGCAACAGAGAUAUACCGCCAACCUUUGGUUGGUAAGGGUGGAAAGGCGAGGUAAGAGCUCACCGAAGACCUUGGUAACAAGGCCUUCCUGUAAACCCUAUCCGAAGCAACGCCUUCAAGCGCGCCGCAAGGCGGCGGUGCCCACCGAAAGCUUGAUGGCGGCAGGGGAGAGAUCCCUGAGCUUGUCGGUAACGGCAAGCAAAGAUAGAUGACUGCGACCGCAAGGUACAGAACCCGGCUUACAAGCUCACCGGUGAU
rnacentral:RNase_P_RNA from 1 species